GAUGAAUGCUGGCGGCGUGCCUAACACAUGCAAGUCGAGCGGUAACAGGAGUAGUUUACUACUUGCUGACGAGCGGCGGACGGCUGAGUAACGCGUGGGAACGUGCCCCAAAGUGAGGAAUAACUGCCCGAAAGGGUAGCUAAUACCGCAUAUGAUCUUCGGAUUAAAGGAUUUAUCCGCUUUGGGAGCGGCCCGCGUCGGAUUAGGUAGUUGGUGAGGUAAUGGCUCACCAAGCCCACGAUCCGUAGCUGGUCGGAGAGGAUGAUCAGCCAGACUGGAACGUAGACACGGUCCAGACUCCUACGGGAGGCAGCAGUGAGGAAUCUUCCACAAUGGGCGAAAGCCUGAUGGAGCAACGCCGCGUGCAGGAUGAAGGCCUUCGGGUCGUAAACUGCUUUUAUAAGUGAAGAAUAUGACGGUAGCUUAUGAAUAAGCACCGGCUAACUACGUGCCAGCCGCCGCAGUAAAA
rnacentral:rRNA from 1 species